UACGUAGGGGGCAAGCGUUGUCCGGAUUUAUUGGGCGUAAAGAGCGUGUAGGCGGCCUGACAGGUCUGCUGUGAAAACUCGAGGCUCAACCUCGAGAUGUCGGCGGAAACCGUCUGGCUAGAGUCCGGAAGAGGAGAGUGGAAUUCCUGGUGUAGCGGUGAAAUGCGCAGAUAUCGGGAGGAACACCGGUGGCGAAGGCGGCUCUCUGGACCUGUCCUGACGCUGAGGCGCGAAAGCUAGGGGAGCGAACAGG
rnacentral:rRNA from 1 species